AGACUGCUGAGGAGUCCCACAAUAGGACGAAACGGCCGUCCAGUAC
rnacentral:hammerhead_ribozyme from 1 species